CAUUAUGCUUUUUUAUUUAUGAAUCCAGAUGUAUUUCUAUUUAUUUAUUUUAUUUAUUAUUAAUUUUAUAUCCUGCCCUUCCUCCUAGAGGGAGCAAACAACAGUGACAAAACACCAAAAACAUCUGUAGAAAACAUCUUAAAAACAAAACAUCUUAAAACAUUUUGAAAACAAUUACAGUCUGGGAUAAUGUCUCCACUUAAAAGGCUUGUGGAAACAGGAAGGCUUUCAAUAGUCACUGAAAAGAUAAUAUUAGUGCCUGUCUAAUAUUUAAGGGGAGGGAAUUCCAAAGGGUAGGUGCCACUGCACUAAAGGCCUGCUUUCUGUGCUGUGCAGAACAGACAUCCUGAUGAGAUGUUAUCUGCUGGAGGCCUUUCCCUGCAAAGUACAGAGACUGACUGUGUAUAUAAGGGGUGAGAUGAUCUUUCAAGUAUAUUGGUCCUAAGCUGUAUAAGAUUUUACACACCAAAACCAGCACCUUGAAGUUAGCCCUGUACCUACUUGGCAGCCUGUGCAAUUCUUUCAGCAGCGGGGUAACGUGUUGGUGAUAACUUGCACAUUGAAGUAAUCCAGCAUGGAGGUUACCAGAGCAUGAAUGAGAAUGAUCAGGCUAUCCCAGUCCAGAAACAUCCCCAGUCUAUAAACCUUCUCUUUCAGGGGGAAUGCAAUCCUAUCCAAAGCAGGCAACUGACCUGGCUGGACGAGGCCUCGGCUCCUAUACUUGAGGCCAUGUGUCCAGCGGGUUUCCGAUAUGCACAGUAGCCGAGGAUUGGUAGGCGGGGAGGGGGUGUGGCAGUUAUUUAUCGGGAGUCCUUGGUUUUUGCCAGACCUCCUCUCCACGAGACCAAGUUUGUUGAUUGUAUGUACUGGAGGUUGGUACCAAAGGGCAGUUUAGGAAUUCUGCUGAUGUACCACCCACCCCGCUGCACGGCAGACUCCCUGGCCGAGGUGCUCGAGGUGGUCGCGGCUGUACGGUUGUUUACCCCGAACUUAUUGGUUUUGGGGGAUUUCAACGUGCAUGCCGAGGCCAUUCUCACUGGAGCCCCUCGGGUUUUCAUUGAAACCAUGACUUCAUGGGAACUGCACCUAAGUAAUAUGGGUCCCACCCAUGUAGCCGGCCAUACCAUUGACCUUGUAUUUGUCGCGGGAGAGAAGGAAAGUGAUCUGAAGAUGGGGACUGUUUCUUCUAGCCCUGUGUCAUGGUCAGAUCACUACCUGGUGAAAUUGGAUCUCUCUGUGCCGCACACCCUCCGCAGGGGACAAGGACCUAUUAGGAUGGUCCGCCCCAGAUGCAUGAUGGAGCCUAUUGGAUUCCUAAAUGCGCUGGGUGAUCUGGAGCUAACUGAAGGCCACCCGGUCGAAGCCCUGGUGAUGGAGUGGAAUAGGGAGAUCACUAGGGCAAUAGACCGGGUGGCACCGAAACGUCCUCUUCUCCUGAAUAGAACUCAGACUGCACCCUGGUAUACACCACGGUUACGCAGUCUGAGGCAGGAAGUGAGACAACUAGAGCGCCGAUGGCGGAAAUCGUGCACUGAAGGUGAUCGGACACUGGUUAGAGCGGCAAUAGCGGCCUACCAGUGGGCAACAAAGGCAGCAAAGAGGCAAUUCUUUGCUGCCUCUAUUGCAUCGGCAGAGUGCUGUCCCAGGAGGUUGUUCCAAGUGGUCCGAAGCCUGGUCGGUCCAGUAGCGCAGGAACCUAUGGAACAAUCAAAAGCCUCCUGUGACACAUUUGUUAAACACUUUGCCGAUAAAAUCGAGCACCUAAAGGACAAGAUUCCGUACGUCGUGGUUACAAGUAGGGGUCCAGAGGCGGCCAGUUGCAAUCCGGUCUGCUGGGAUCGGUUUCAGCCUCUUCUCUCUGAUGAAGUGGACAAGGUGCUCUCUACUGUAAAACCAACCACUUGCUUACUUGAUCCUUGCCCUUCAUGGCUCGUUAUGAGCUGUAAAGAGAGACUGGGCAAUGGGAUCAAGGCAAUCGUAAAUGCAUCCUUGGAGGAGGGUGUAAUGCCAUUGCCCCUCAAGGAGGCAGUGAUAAGACCUAUUCUGAAAAAGCCCUCCUUGGAUCCCCAAGAUUUAAACAACUUUCGCCCAGUCUCCAAUUUACCGUUCUUGGGCAAGGUAAUUGAGCGUGUGGUGGCAAAGCAGCUACAGACACACUUGGAGGAAGCAGAUUAUUUAGAUCCUUUCCAGUCGGGCUUCAGGACUGGACACGGAACUGAAACAGCCUUGGUCGCUCUGGUGGAUGAUAUGAGGAGGGCGUUGGAUAGGGGAGAACAUACCUUCCUCGUCCUCCUGGACCUCUCAGCGGCUUUCGAUACCGUCGACCACGGUAUCCUGUUGAGUCGCCUGGAGGGACUGGGAAUAGGAGGCACUGUUUUACAGUGGUUCCGUUCCUAUCUCUCCGGUAGAUAUCAACGGGUAGUGUUGGGGGAUGAGGUUUCAGACCCUUGGCCCCUCAACUGUGGUGUGCCACAGGGUUCUAUCCUCUCUCCCAUGCUAUUUAACAUUUAUAUGAAACCGCUGGGAGCCAUCAUCAGGAGUUUUGGGCUGCAGUGUCACCAAUAUGCAGAUGACACGCAGCUCUAUCUCUCAUUUAAAUCUUCACCAGAGUUGGCUGUGGAUACCUUGUCCAAGUGCCUGGAGUCCGUAAGUGGAUGGAUGGGAGAGAACAGGCUGAGGCUGAACCCCGAUAAGACUGAGGUAUUACUAGUGGGGGACAAGGGAAGGUUGGGUGAUUUUGACCUGAUACUUAAUGGGGUGAGUUUGCCCCUGAAGGACCAGAUCCGCAGUCUCGGGGUCAUCUUGGACUCCCAGCUGUCUAUGGAGGCUCAGGUUUCUGCAGUGAGCCGGGCAGCUUGGUACCAACUUCAUCUAGUACAGAGGCUGCGACCCUAUCUUCCCAUACAUCUGCUCCCACGAGUGAUACAUGCCCUGAUCUCCUCUCGAUUGGACUACUGUAAUGCGCUCUAUGUGGGGUUACCCUUGAAGACGGUCUGGAAACUCCAGCUGGUACAAAACGCGGCGGCACGCUUAAUAAAGCAGACCCGCCGCCGCGAUCAUAUCACCCCAGUGUUGAUUGAAUUACACUGGUUGCCAGUUGUAUACCGGGCCCAAUUCAAGGUGUUGGUUUUAACCUUUAAAACUCUAUGCGGUUCCGGCCCAGUUUAUCUGAAGGAGCGCCUCCAGUAUCACCAAAUAUGCCGCCAAACAAGAUCAGCCUCACAGGACCUUCUCUCGGUCCCACCGACUAAGACAGCUAGGUUGGUGCGGACCAGGGAGAGGGCUUUUUCGAUCAUGGCCCCCACCCUCUGGAACUUACUUCCCUUUGACCUUCGGCAUGCCCCCUCCCUGUUGACUUUUCGCCGAGCCUUGAAGACCUGGCUCUUCAGGCAGGCCUAUGGGAUCUCUGGGGUGGGUUAGGUUUUACACUGUAUUAAUGUAAGAUGGUCUUCAGAUGAGAUGUUAUGAUAUUAAUAAUGUGAUGAUUAUGUAUAUGAGCAGAUUGUAUUUUAUAUUGUAUUUUAUAUUGUACGUUGCCCAGAGUGUCCGUUCAGUCGGACAGAUGGGCAUCUGCUAAAUAAAAUUUUAUUAUUUAUUAUUUAUUAUUUUCUAGAUUCAGGAUCCACCAACGCACAGCACCUCUGUCUUGCUAGGAUUCAGAGUCAGAUUAUUGGCCUUCAUCCAGUCCACCACUGAGUCCAGGCACUAGUCCAGGACUUGCAUGGCCUUUCCUGAUCCAGAUGUUACCAAGUAAUAGAGCUGGGUAUCAUCAGCAUACUGAUGACACCUUGCCCCAAAUCACAUAAUGACCACUCCCAAUGGCUUCCUAUAGAUAUUUAAUAGCAUUGCCAACAAGUUGGUACCUUCUGGCACCCCACAGCAUACUGCCAGGAGGCUGAAAAACAAUAAUCCAAUGCUAUGCUCUGAAAAUGACCCUGGGGAUAGGAUCUGGACCACUGUAAAACAGUGCCUCUGAUAUUCAUCUCACCAAGUCGGCUCAGAAGGAUACCAUGGUUAAUGGUAUCAAAAGCCGCUGAGAGAUCAAGUAAUAAUAACAGGGUUGCACUCCCCCUUCCUUCUCCUUAUAAAGGUCGUCCAUCAGGGCAACCAAGGCUGAUUUAAUUUCAUUAUUAGGACUGAACCCAGAUCAAGAUGGGUCAAGAUAAUCUGCUUCAUCCAAGAGUAUCUGCAAUUGUUGCACCACAGUCCUCUUGAUCACCAUCCCUAAAAAGGCAGUAUUUGAGACAAGGCGGUAGUUGUCACAAACUGAUGGAUCCAAGCUUUACUCAGGUGGACAAGGAGGCAUGAGUGGACAAGAAGAAGAAGAAGCAGUCUCCAGGAGGG